UUUGUCUUUAAUCUGCCAAGUAAAGCAGCUUGCUUAAGGAUUUCCCCUUCUGUCCAGACCUGAGAAGGAACCUACAUGGAGCAGGUUCAAGCCCAACACUAUACUGUUUCUAAGCACAGCUGGAUUCUCUUAUCCUGAAGCACAAGUCCACAGCAGAGCUCAGAUUAGAUCAGCUAAUUUGUUUUUAACCUCAGACCAAGAGCAGAAGAAUAAAUGCUUCUUGUUAUAAGUCGCUAAGAUUUUGGAAGUUUCUACUACACAGCAAAAGCUGAAUGAUAUAGAAAUUAAGGUUGCCCCUGUACAAAUUUUAAUCUAGAGGGGAAAUAAUGGUUUGCGUUUAAGUAACUAUACAAUUCAGUAAAUAGGCUAAAUGCAUUGAAAUAAGUAUAAAGUAUUCUGGGGAACAGGGGUCACAGAGGAGGUGAGAAGCCUUAGGUUUACAAAGACUUUAAGAGAGUGAAAGCAAUACCCUUGAAGGAAGGGUAGGACUUGAGCAGACUGUGAGGGCAAGGGAAAGAUGAAGAAGGUAUCUGUAGUGCAAGCACCUGGCAGUUGUUUUUUAUUAUAACACAAGUGUCUGACAUUAAGCUUUAAUUGCUGAGGCAUCCACUUCAAAGCCAGCAAUCUCGAAUAAACACAUUGCCAGAUCCGUGACUAUAUAAAGAGCCAGCCUGCCCCACCCCGAAGGUUUCCCUUGUUUUAGAGAUGAUCUCUGGUUGACUUAGUACCUGACCAUUUGAUUGCUUGUUUUCCCCUCCUAGUCUUAUGUUUUAAUUUACCAAAAAAGAGUGAACCUGCAAAACCUGAGGAAUUCUACCCUCAACUCCAAUAAAAGCUGAACUGCAGCCCUGCACACCCUCUCUCUCCCCCAGACCAUGCUGUAUGGCUCCAGGAGUGCUGUGUACCUCCAGGACUUUUCUUUUACAGAGAAACUAGUGUCCAGAGAAUAUCAAGAAACCAAAGCUUCCCAGCCCCACCUCCUCAGCUUCCUGAUGUCAGAGUCUACCUUCCACCAUGGAGAUAAGCAGCCAAGGACACUCAUCUGAGAAAUCCUUUGUCUCCCCUGGAAGCAGCCCAAGACACAGGCCGAUGGGAAAAUGCUGACCAAGAAAUCCACAGCCCCCCUCCCCUACCUAAAACCCUAAAUAAAAACCCCUACCCGUUUCUCAAUGGGGAGCAAGCAUUUGGGGGCACUGGCCCUUGCUUUGCUCCCUCUGCCUGGCAAAGAAAAGCUUUCCUUUUCCUCCCAAGACUCCAUUCUUGUUAUCUGGAUUGGCAUCAGGAUCAGAGACUGAACUUUCGGUAACACUAAGGGCUUGAUCCCAAACAGCUGAUAAAAGAAACUAGCAUGUGCAAGAUGGCAGAGUGAGUGGUCUUCUUUGUCUCUCCCCCGUCAAAUCCACAACUAAUUGGACAUUCAUUGAUUAACAAAGGAUAUCCAGAUAGCAUCUCAAGACGCCUAAGAGUCCCAUGCUACUACACAUCGGAAGGCGGACGGACUUCCCCCUGGGAGGGAGGUGGAAAUAGGUGAAAACUCUCCAACCCCUGACCCCCAGACAGCCUAGUUCCUGCAGGAGGCUCUCUUCCAGCGGACUCCCCCCUAGCAUUGCCACACACCAAGGGUGGGAGUGUGCACUCACCAGCGGAGCGACGGUGGAAACAGGUGACAACAGCCCUACCCAAGCCCCCCGUGAUUACACCUAAGCCCAGGGGGAAUCCCCAGGGUCCUGCACCCACCAGCAGGGAAGGCCUCUGCUCGCCAUUAGCAGGGAGGCCCCGCGCAGAAUCCAGAACAAAGAGAAUCUCCUGGCUGCCCCAGCACGGCACCAGACCGCAAGCUGCCGCUGGGCUCACGGUCUCCAGCACAUGAGUCGGUGCAGGGGGCACCCGGACUUCCCGUAGACGUGCUUGGGGACACAGUUGGAGCUCCAGCAUCUGGCUCUGCAGUGCAGGGGAAGGCUCUGGGGUCCCACACCUCCCUGGCAGGGAAAGCCUCUGCCCGCCAUUAGCAGGGAGGCCACGCCCAGAAUCCAGGAAACAGGGAAGCUCCUGGUGGGCAGAUUCCCUGGCACAGCACCAGACUGCAAGCUGCUGCUGGGCUCACGGUCUCCAUCGCAUGGGUCGGUGCAGGGAGUGCCCGGACUUCCUGUGGAUGUGCUUGGGGACUGGGUGGAGCUCCAACACCUGGCUCUAUGGCCCGGGGGGAUGCUCCAGGGUCCUGCACACCCCCAGCAGGGAGGGCCUUUGCUCGCCAUUGGCAGGGAGGCCCCGCCCAGCAUUCGGAACACCAGGAAGCUCCCUAGAGCAGAAUUCCCCACAAGGCAGCAGCUUACAAGCCACCGCUAGGCCCACAGACUCUGGCCGUGUCCCAGAUGACGCAAGGGGCUCCCAGAGAUCCCAUGAGUGGAGUGGGGCAGAGUGGAGCUCCAGUGAAAUGGCUACGUAGCCCAGGGGGGAGCUCCAGGUUCCUCCAGCAGCCUCAGCAAAAGCCUCUGCACAGCACUAGUGGAGAGGUCCUGACUGGCAAUCGCAAGGCGGGAAGGCCCUGCGGCAAAAGCAGCACAGCUAGGUGAGCUAACGACAGACUGCACAAGAUACCCAUAGCUCUGCGGGGACAUAUAGUGGACAAGUGUGAUCUUGUGGGCUCUGUUAUGGACAAAGUGGUGAUUAUAGAUGAUCCUGCUCCUGGCUGAUGGGAAAGCCCACAAACAACACCGCUGCAGACCACAAGGAGGGAGCGCAUCUAAGUGGGCUGCAGCAGUAGUCACCAGCAGCCUGAGGCCCCCUUGUGAUUGCCCCCAUAACCGACGAGGGACCCCACAGGACCACUGUGACAUGAGGAGGGGUCCAGGUCCAAUGAGUAACAGCUGACAGAGUUCCUGGUUGGUGCAGUCUAAACAGCUGCCCCCCCCCCCCACACACACACCAGUCACAACCAGUGUAAGCAGCGACUAAACUCUAUCUCUAUGCGGAGGCACAAAUCCACGCCAUCAAGCAGAAUGAAAAAAUAUAUUAAAUCUCCAGAACAGAAGGAAAAUGAUAAGCACCCAGAAAACAAUCCCCAAACAACGAAAUCUACAACCUAAAUGAUGAUCAUUUCAAAACUGCCAUUAUUAAAAAACUCAACGAGUUAAAAGAGAAUUCAGAUAGACAACUCAAUGAGCUCAGGAGCUAUGUUACAAAAGAGCUUGAUACUAUAAAGAAGAACCAAUUAGAAAUACUGGAGAUGAAGAACACAAUGGAGGAGAUUAAGAAAAAUCUGGACUCUCUGAAUAGUAGGGUCGAUAAUAUGGAGGACAGAAUUAGCAAUUUGGAGGCUAGGAAUAUAGAAAUGCUGCAGACAGAGGAGGAGAGAGACCUAAGACUAAAGAGAAAUGAAGAAACUCUCCAAGAA
rnacentral:lncRNA from 1 species